GCGGAUGUGGCGGAAUUGGUAGACGCGCUAGAUUUAGGUUCUAGUGUCCUCGUGACGUGAAGGUUCAAGUCCUUUCAUCCGCA
rfam:Phormidesmis priestleyi Ana ITZX_scaf_112, whole genome shotgun sequence.